CAUCAUUGGGAUGAAUAACAUUUUACUUGUUUUACAGAAUUUUGUUUUCUUUAUAUACUUAGUUACACCAUCAAUGCUACUGACGAAGUUUUCUGAUUACACAACUACGGCAAAAUGUGUUUCAUAUUUUCAGCCAUUUGGGGGUGCUUCAAGGGUGUCUGUUGCUGCUGCUGUGGAACAGCUUUCUUCGCGUGUUGCCCAUGUUGCGCUGAAGUCGCCUGCUGUGUUGCUUGCUGUAAAUGUUGUUGUUGCUGUUGUUGGGAUGGCGACGAUUAGAAUGUAACUGGAUUAUUCUCCGAAAACAUUAGACUCUUUUGGACUGCAUACUGUUAGGAAUAUGUGCUUUUUAGUAGCUGAUUUAUUAGGUUUUCAAUUGAUUUUAGUGUGUUAACUAGAAUAUGGAUCUAGCCGUGGAAUUCUUUGUUAAUGCUUGAUAUAUGUUGGAAUAGCCCUCUAAUUAGUCAAUGUAUGCGGAAAUCAGUUAUGGGCCGGGUUUGGCUAAAAUUAGUGUCUGGAAAUUUAUCUAGCCUAGUGCCUUCAUUGCGACUCUAGUCGUGUUAUUAAAGUCAAAACGCACUGAUUUUUAUUCCUUGAGUAACAUUUGCUAUUUUGUGUCGUCUUAGCUGUCUGUAUUUUGUCUCUCUAUCCAAUACCAAAUUGUACAAAUAUUUGAGCCUUUUAAUAGCGUUUGUUUAAAAAAUAUUGGUCCAAAUUCAUUCAUGACGUUUUUUUUAAAGUCGUCUUAUGCUUUUUUCAUUUAACAGCUUUUGCUGUUAUAUUCAUCAUGAUUAACCCAACGUGUGAACAACUUUACAAUAUGCUACUAAGUUUGAUCGAGUUUCCCAAAAUCAUGACAUCAAAAUUCGCUCUAAUUUUUUUUUUAAUGCUUUGUGCAUCCUUACAUUUAUUGGACAACAUUUUAUAGUUACGUAUAUGUAAAGGUAGUGAAAUUUUAGUAUUAUUAGCUUGUAGUAUACAGUAGUUGUGAUUGUAAAAUAAUAUGUUUUUGUUCAAUUUCAUAGUUUUAGUAGUAUUUGCAGAGUUGAAUAAAUAAAAUUGACUAUUAUAAACUAACUUUAAAUUUUAGACGCUAUAAUGAAUUUAUUUGACCAAAUUGUUUUUGUAGGUAGCACUAAUCAUCUAUUUUGUGAAUUAAUGAACUAAUCGCUUUCAACUUUUUAGUAGUUCACAGAAAACAGUAGUCUACUUCUAUGUUUUUUCGUCUUAUUUUGUUCAAAAUCCCAGGCCUUUUUGUUUCACUCCUAAAUUUGGUUGUUUUAUAAUGCGCCACAGCCCAGAUAUUUUUCUUCCCAAACUUGUCGAGUUUCAGCUCAAGUAACAAUGUAACUUCAAUCACGUUGAAGAUAAAGUACUUCGUGCCCAAAUAAUUGCACCAUGCAUAGCUAGAAACUGCAAUUACUUUUGAAUAAAACCACAUAUCAAUGUAUACAAAAAAAUCGAAUUUUGAUUAUUACUUUAGGAAUAUGACUGUGACUGGCAGUGUUCUGCUUGUAUUGAUUGUAUUUUUUUAAGCGUUGUUGAAAUAAACUGAUGUUUUGGAAUUGUU